UACGGGGGGGGCAAGCGUUGUUCGGAAUUACUGGGCGUAAAGGGCUCGUAGGUGGCCAACUAAGUCAGACGUGAAAUCCCUCGGCUUAACCGGGGAACUGCGUCUGAUACUGGAUGGCUUGAGUUCGGGAGAGGGAUGCGGAAUUCCAGGUGUAGCGGUGAAAUGCGUAGAUAUCCGGAGGAACACCGGUGGCGAAGGCGGGUCUCUGGGCCGUAACUGACGCUGAGGAGCGAAAGCGUGGGGAGCGAACAGG
rnacentral:rRNA from 1 species